CCAGCAGCCGCGGUAAUUCCAGCUCCAAUAGCGUAUAUUAAAGUUGUUGCAGUUAAAAAGCUCGUAGUUGGAUUUCUGGUAGGAGCGACCGGUCCGGGCUUGAUUGUCCGUGUACUUGAGUCGCCUCUGGCCAUCCUCGUGGAGAACAUAUUCGCAUUAAUUUGUGGGUAUGGGACCUGCGUCGUUUACUGUGAAAAAAUUAGAGUGUUUAAAGCAGGCAAUCGCUUGAAUACAUUAGCAUGGAAUAAUAAGAUAGGACUUUGGUGCUAUUUUGUUGGUUUACACACCAAGGUAAUGAUUAACAGGGACAGUUGGGGGUAUUCGUAUUCAUAUGUCAGAGGUGAAAUUCUUGGAUUUUAGGAAGACGAACUACUGCGAAAGCAUUUAC
rnacentral:rRNA from 1 species